AAGCAAUCAACACAUAUGGCUCAUGGGUAGCUUGUUGACCAAGUUUCUACCCUAUUAAUCAAUUAUAAAUAUAUAUAAAAUCAAAACAGCAUUUUGAAAGCUUUUAGGAAGCUUUUUUCAAAGGUACUAUGAAAUUAACCUACUUUUAUUCAAUUCUACAUAUUCAUAUUAUUUAGAUAAUAAUUAUAGCAGACAUAUAUAUCUAUGAUAUUACUCCCCUUUCUAAAGACGAGUUCCACAAGGAGCUAUGAUUACAUGUUAAAGAAGUCUAAGAUGUGGCAAAUUAUAUUUGCUAUAUACUUUGAUCUUUGUUUUCUUCAAAUGUAGAUGAUAGGUCUUCUCAGCCAUUGGUAAUGUUCCAUUUGAGGGCGGGAAGAGCAUGUUGUGAUUUGAUCAUUGUUAUAACCUUCGUAACUUUCUUCAUAUAAAACAUUUGUAAUAUCAUUAGGAAUUGUGCCUACCUUUAAUAAAAUCAUCAAAAAUCAUGAGUAUUUUUCCAAGUAGUGAUACCAAACUCAUUAUAUCUUGCCAUCUAUUGCCAUCUAUACAAGAACAUGUUGUUCUUGUAGGUCUUCAUCCCUCUCACGUCGUCUUGAACGCUGUCAAAUGAUGGCUCUUAAGUUGAGUCCGUCACCUGUUCUUUCUCCAUCUUCUAAUACCCAGCCUUGCCCUUGUUAACUACAACCGUGAUGAGCUCAGACAAUACGCUUGACAGCAACGAUCCUGCAAACAGCUAUAAAGGUUCCAUUAUUAUUUCCUCUCUCUACCUCCUCUAAUCUAAGCUUCUCCGUUACCCUGUGCUUGUUCCUACUCCAAACCACACUGAACGUGCCCAGUGGGACACCCCAGACGAUGACUUCAACAGACCAUUUGCGCAUUACAUCGUUGCAGGGACGAGACGAGACGAGACAUAUAUAUGCGGCUGAGCUGCAAUAAUUCCUUGUGAGCACGAGCAAGCUGCAAGAGUUGGACAAAUUUUUCCACGACUCGACAAUGAAAGAUGCUUUCUAAAC
rnacentral:lncRNA from 1 species